rnacentral:rRNA from 1 species
GACGAACCGUGCGAACGUUAUUCGGAAUCACUGGGCUUAAAGCGCGUGUAGGCGGGAGGGCACGUCCGUUGCUGAAAUCCCCCGGCUCAAUCGGGGAACGGGCGCGGAUACGACUCUCCUUGAGGGGCGUAGGGGGACCUGGAACUUCCGGUGGAGCGGUGAAAUGCGUUGAGAUCGGAAGGAACGCCCGUGGCGAAAGCGAGGUCCUGGACGCCUACUGACGCUGAGACGCGAAAGCCAGGGGAGCGAACGGG